GUCAAAACUAUUUUGGAAAUAUAACGAUACUUCCCUAUAAUAUUUUGACGUAAAAAUUACAUUUGGUUGUCUUGUCGAUUACCAUAUCCCGUGUGUACAGGGUAUAGCUACUAUUUUAUGUGAACGAAUUCUUAAGUAUACCUGCAGUAUUGUAUAUUGUUAUUGUAACUUCCUGAAAAUAUAUCUAUAUAGCUAGGAUUCAAAACUAUACGAAAAGUCAAAUUUGCUAUGUAUUGUGUAUAUAAAAAUACCCGUAUGCAAAAAUCCAUUGAGCUCA